CAGUUUGAUACCAAUCUUGAAGGAAUACAUCAUCAGCCUAAAAGUCAUUGUGUGAUCAGGAGAAAGACUCGUGUUCAAAUGGUUGCUUCUACUUGUCAAGUCUCAGCCAAACAACACUGCUGUCUCUCCUUCAGAUUGCUGCUAGUUUGAAACUUGUGCUGGCUAGAAAGGAGAACGAGUCGGAUCAACCUUUUAAGAAGAAAGUCCCUUGGCGUCUCUUCUUCAUUCUCUGAAUCAGCAUAAGUCAUCACAGAUUGAUGAAGUCAACAGCAUUGAGGGUCAAAGCGACUCUGCAUGGAGCGCUGACUGACUUCCACGGCCUAGUUGGUUCACCGUCAUGGAAAAUCCCGUCUACAUAUGGGAAAGAGGAGGAAAUGGAGAUUAGUGAUAAACACGAAGACGAGAUCACAAAAACAGCUCGAUAAGCGAGAGUGUCUAGGUCUAGCUUGAAACGUGAACCAUCAUCACGAAGCGUAGAGAGCAAGGAAAAUACAGGGAUCCGACUCCAUCCAAUGACUUCUCGAACGAUACGGGGUGAAAAGUGUUGAUUGAUCUCUCUGCAAUGCGUCUUUUCCACGCUACGUCUUCAUGGUUCUCGUAGAUUGUAGAGGAUGCUUGCUUUGAUCGAAAUUGCAUUAGGUCUUCUCUUUUACCUUUUACUUAAAUUUUUAUUUUUCGUUUUUUUUUCUUUCC